GAGGUUGUGGCUCAGUGGUACAGUGCUUGCCUAGUACAUGUAAGGCACUGAGUUUGAAACUCAGCACCACA
rnacentral:tRNA from 1 species